AAUCCAUAGGUUAAUGAGGCGAACCGGGGGAACUGAAACAUCUAAGUACCCCGAGGAAAAGAAAUCAACCGAGAUUCCCCCAGUAGCGGCGAGCGAACGGGGAGGAGCCCAGAGCCUGAAUCAGCAUGUGUGUUAGUGGAAGCGUCUGGAAAGGCGCGCGAUACAGGGUGACAGCCCCGUACACAAAAGCGCAUGUGCUGUGAGCUCGAUGAGUAGGGCGGGACACGUGGUAUCCUGUCUGAAUAUGGGGGGACCAUCCUCCAAGGCUAAAUACUCCUGACUGACCGAUAGUGAACCAGUACCGUGAGGGAAAGGCGAAAAGAACCCCGGCGAGGGGAGUGAAAAAGAACCUGAAACCGUGUACGUACAAGCAGUGGGAGCACCCUUCGGGGUGUGACUGCGUACCUUUUGUAUAAUGGG
rnacentral:rRNA from 3 species